ensembl:snRNA U6 U6 spliceosomal RNA
GUGCUCACUUCAGCAGCACAUAUGGUAAAAUUGGAAUGGUAAAGAGAAUAUAUGCAUAGCCCCUGCUCAAGGAUGAGAUGAAGAGACUUAAUGAGAUGAGAUGAGAU